GCGGCGAAUGCCGAGUGGAAGUACAUGUCGGUCGCGGGUUCGAGUCCCGCCGGCUCCAACAAUUUCAAGCAGCAGGGGGCCGUAGCUCAGUGGCAGAGCAACCUUGGAGAAAUCCGAGUUUAACUUUCGCUCAAAUCUGGUCGCCGUUUC
rnacentral:Y_RNA from 1 species